GAACUGCUGAGUAGUCCCACAAUAGGACGAAACGGCCGUCCAGUGU
rfam:Schistosoma mansoni strain Puerto Rico chromosome 2, complete genome